CCAGAGGGCCGGGCGGCCGCUGCUCGCUUCGGCGGGGAGAGGAAAGUCCGGGCUCCACGGGAAUACGGUGCCGGGUAACGCCCGGCGGGGCGGCGCCCUGGGCGCCGCUUCAGGGACAGUGCCACAGAAAGCAAACCACCGUCGCUUCGGCGCGGCCAGGGCGAAAGGGUGCGGUAAGAGCGCACCGCGUCUCCGGCAACGGGGACGGCACGGCAAACCCCACCGGGAGCAAGACCGAAUAGGGGCCGCACAGGGGGCUGAUCCCGCCCCGCGGCCCGGGUUGGUUGCUUGAGGCCGGGCGCGAGCCCGGUCCUAGAGGAAUGGUCGCCUAUCCGGCGGAAACGCCGGUGGACAGAACCCGGCUUACAGGCCCUCUGGCGCU
rnacentral:RNase_P_RNA from 1 species